rnacentral:rRNA from 1 species
CUGGAAUCGCUAGUAAUCGCAGAUCAGAAUGCUGCGGUGAAUACGUUCCCGGGUCUUGUACACACCGCCCGUCACACCAUGGGAGUUGGAAAUGCCCGAAGCCAGUGACCCAACCGUAAGGAGGGAGCUGUCGAAGGUGGAGCCGAUGACUGGGGUGAAGUCGUAACAAGGUACC